rnacentral:rRNA from 1 species
CGGUAAUUCCAGCUCCAAUAGCGUAUACUAAAGUUGUUGCAGUUAAAAAGCUCGUAGUUGGAUUUCUGCGGGGACGGAGCGGCCGGACGCAACUUGCGUCUCGAGCUAGCGCUUUCCCCGCAUCCUGCCGCGAACCGUGCUACCAUUAGUUUGGUGGCGCUGGGGAUCGGCUCGAUUACUUUGAGAAAAAUAGAGUGUUCAAAGCAGGCCACACGCCUUGAAUAAGUUAGCAUGGAAUAAUGACUAAGGACUUCGGUUCUAUUUUGUUGGUGUUCGGGACUGAAGUAAUGAUUGAUAGGGACAGUUGGGGCGGUCUGUAUUCCAAAGCGAGAGGUGAAAUUCUUAGACCUUCGGAAGACAAACAGCUGCGAAAGCGUUCCGCAAGGAUGUUCCCUUUGAUCAAGAACGAAAGUUGGGGGAUCGAAGACGAUCAGAUACCGUCGUAGUCUCAACUAUAAACUAUACCAGCUAGGGAUCGGUCAACGUUUAAUUAUUCGACUUGAUCGGCACCUUAUGAGAAAUCAAAGCAUCUGGGUUCCGGGGGGAGUAUGGUCGCAAGGCCGAAACUUAAAGGAAUUGACGGAAGGGCACCACCAGCCGUGGAGCCUGUGGCUUAAUUUGACUCAACACGGGAAAACUUACCAGGUCCAGACAUAGUAAGGAUUGACAGAUUGAUAGCUCUUUCUUGAUUCUGUGGGUGGUGGUGCAUGGCCGUUCUUAGUUGGUGGAGUGAUUUGUCUGGUUAAUUCCGUUAACGAACGAGACCCCAGCCUGCUAAAUAGCGCGGCUGAGCUUUGCUCGGUGCGAGCUUCUUAGAGGGACUAUGAUGCGCGAUAGCACAUGGAAGUUUGGGGCAAUACCAGGUCUGUGAUGCCCUUAGAUGUUCUGGUCCACACACGGGCUACACUGGCGCCUGCAACGAGCAUAUCAGCUGGCCCGAGAGGGUCUUGGCUAAUCUUUUGAACCGGCGCCGUGCUUGGGAUUGACCUUUGCAAUUGUUGGUCAUGCAACGAGGAAUGCCUUGUAAACGCGAGUCAUCAGCUCGCAUUGAAUACGUCCCUGCCCUUUGUACACACCGCCCGUCGCUCCUACCGAUGUAUGUUCCGAUGAAAUUUUCGGAGAGCGCCAGAGAACGGGGCUCUGCCUUGCAGAUCUGGAGGCUCAAAGUCACUUAAAUCUGAACAUUUCGAGGAAGGAGAAGUCGUAACAAGGUAACC